rnacentral:piRNA from 1 species
UGGCCAGCACCUACACGGGAUCAGCCUG